CCACAUCAAAACAAGUGAAAGAGGUAA
rnacentral:piRNA from 1 species